AACAACAAUUCAAUAAGUCAAAAACAAACAAAAAAACAUUCAUUCAAUUCAGUGUGUGUAUUUCGUUUGUUUGUAUCUUUGUGUUUGAGUAUUUUGGCGGUUCUUAAUCAUCAAACGAACAGAAUAUUCUUUCGAAAAUUCCCAAUCUAAGAUCACCCUGUAUACACGCACACACACAUUGUGUUUCAUACAAGUUUCACACAUAAUACGGCUUCUCUAAUAGUGGAAUUCUUCAACAUUUUUUUUUUGGAUCGAUACAAACCGAACAAACCUAGAGAAAAAAAUU